rnacentral:rRNA from 1 species
UAGUGAUUAACGCGAAGAACCUUACCUGGCCUUGACAUGCAUCUCUAAGUUGGUGAAAGCCAGCGAGUCCCGAAAGGGACAAUUUGCACAGGUGCUGCAUGGCUGUCGUCAGCUCGUGUCGUGAGAUGUUGGGUUAAGUCCCGCAACGAGCACAACCCCUGUGAACUGUUGCCACCGAGCCGUGAGGCUCGAGCACUCUGUUCAGACUGCCCCGCUUUAACGGGGAGGAAGGUGGGGACGACGUCAAGUCAGUAUGGCCCUUACGGCCAGGGCUGCACACGUACUACAAUGCCCAGUACAAAACGAUCCAAGACCGCGAGGUGGAGGAAAUCACUAAAACUGGGCCCAGUUCAGAUUGAAGUCUGCAACUCGACUUCAUGAAGCCGGAAUCGCUAGUAAUGGCGCAUCAGCUACGGCGCCGUGAAUACGUUCCCGGGCCUUGUCACACCGAAUCGAAUUC